UCUUGAUGGACUAUUACCUCCUUAUGUUUACAGUCGUCCCUUUGUGAUAGAGAAAAACAACCUCAUCCUACUGGGAUAUUUGCAUAACUAACAACGAGAUCCUGCAGACUGAAAGCAGAUUACUGCCAUAAAUGUGUCAGACCUGGACACAAAGAAGUUGGAUUCCUGAUGUUGACUACGGCCACGGCUGUCUGCCUUUCCUCCCUGACCCAGUGAACGGAGCGCUGUGACACCGGGUACCUGCCCACCAAUCAGUCACGAGACGGCUCUCCAUUCCAUACUCUGUAGCAAGACCUGCUACUCUCACGUUACAGCUGUGUAAGAAUAGUUUGUGUUGAGCUAUAUAGGUCAGUGGUGGUUUGUGCUUGAUAAAUAUAUAUAUAUAUAUAGAGACAUAGAUGUCAUCAUUUAUGUGGGUGCGGAAUAUAUUAUACUGUAUUAUUUUUGAUUCAAUAAAAACUGAUGCUAAUUAAA